UCACCCAAUAAUUAUUUUUUAAAUUGCGUCAUAUUCACUCUAAUUACCCCGAAAUAAGGUACAACCCAUGCCUCCUCCUACAAGAAGAUGUGGAUUGCAAAAUUUUUGCUCUUAAGGCUUUGUUUGGCUUGAUGUAAAAUAUUUUUCACACAAAAUUGCAUUUAUUCAAAUCAUUUUACACGUAAAAUGAUUGCAUGAAAUUUAUUUUGCAUUAUUUGUUUGCAUACAUUAAAAUUAAAUUUCAACAGAGAUUGGUUUUAUUAUACUGUACAAGAUUUGUGUUGUCUAAAGAAUAAGUUGUUGCCAAGGGCUUGAGGUCCACAAAUUUUACGAGACAAGGUUAUUAAGCUAGUUCAUCCUUAAGAUUUAACUGACAUAAUUUAAUGUUUUUUGGUCCGUAAGUUAAUUCCUCUUGUCUAUGUAAACCAAUUUCUUGAAAACAAAUUAUUCCAAUAUUAGACAGCUAAAUAAUAAAAAUUGGUAAAAUAUUUUUGCAAAAAAUGUAUUUUCUCAAAACAAAUGGAGCCUUAGUAGAAGAUUUGCUAAAGCGAAAAAGCAAAAAGCUAUGUUUGCAACGUUGUGGAAAGAGAGGGAAGAAAAGAGAAAAUAAUUAACAUGAAAAAAGAAAGUAAAAUUGUUUUUGUACGUAAUCCUCUUUUUGCCAUUUUUUAUUCUCUUUUUCCUCAAAGCAAACAAUGGGCGGGGAGAAUUUUCGAUCUCCCUAUCCAUCCUCCAUGUUCCAAACAAAGGGAGAUAUGGCGAUAGUGGAAAUAGAUGGGCUAAGUUAUUUGCCAGAGCUAGAAAACAUAUGGUUUCUUGAGAAGUGUAAACACCUCAAUUUGGACUUCUAGAUUAAUGUAUUUUCUGUUUUUGAUUCUCCGAUGAUGAAACAGAUCAAGAAUACCACGGGAAUGUCGUGUGUUUGAGCUUUUAGUACUGUUUGACACACUCUUGUACCUUACCAAGCCUAAGCCACUUCAAAAGCCAAAAACCCUAUUGACGCGCGUUGAUUUGAAGACAGCACGCGCAGAUCAACUUGACGGGUGUUGGUCAAUGGUCAAAGCUUGACCGUUGACCAACGCGUGAGUAGGUGGUACACGCACGCGCUGCUCCCAAACCCGUGCGCGAGGGUUAAGCUGCCAGGUGUGGUCAACAGUCAAAACUUGGCCGUUGACCCACGCGCAUCAGGGCGCAACACGCACGCGCCGGUCAAUGCCUGUCCUCAUCACCUUUAUGGGUUGGUAAGCUUAACUACCAAGUAACCCUCAGCCAGUGUAGAGACCCAUAAUUAUUUUCUUAAAUUUUAAAUGUUUAAUAUGUAUUUGGAUUAUCAAAGUAUGUAUAACAAUGUGGAUAUGAGUUGGGUCAAUGUGAGAUGACUUGGAAGUUGUGGGAGUUGGCGUGAUACAAUAGGAGUGAAAGGGUGUGAGUGUUAUUUGUGCUAUAUAAGUCAAAAAAAAAGGGGAGCAGGAGAUUAUUUUCUCUCUUUUCCUUUCCUUUCUUUUCUUCUUCUCCGGCGUCUCUCUCGGCUCUCACCUCUCUCACCUUCUCUCUUCGAUUUCAUCGAUCACGAGUGAGACUUUUGAAAAAUCCCAAGUACUAAAGUUGUUCUACGCGACGAGAGCUUCCUAUCCAUCGAAGAAAAUUCACGAUCGGAGCACUUCGAAGUUUCCUCCAUGUUCGGGCGUGCUUCUAACCCUCGAGGUACUCGCCAUGGCACUUAGCUUGGAUUGCAUGGAGUGCACAUUGAAACGUCUCUUGAGAGCUUCAUUGGUAUCAUAAAAGAAGUGUUUAUCAUCUAGUCAAAUUCAUGUUGUGUACUUUACUCGCAAUGGAGAGUUGUACCUUUUGAUGAGAAUAUAUGUAAAGCUAUGUGUAAAUUCCUCUCCUUGAUCAUUAUGGAACUCAUUUAAUUAUAAACGUUUAGGAGACUUUAUGUAAAAAAAAAAAAAUUUUUAGAGAGAAGAAGAAGAGACUUUGAUUCUUUA